rnacentral:rRNA from 1 species
GAUGAACGCUAGCGGCAGGCUUAAUACAUGCAAGUCGAGGGGCAGCAGUUUUGUAGCAAUACAGAAGCUGGCGACCGGCAAACGGGUGCGGAACACGUACGCAACCUUCCUUUAACUGGAAGAUAGCCCACCGAAAGGUGGAUUAAUACUCCAUAACAUAUUGAAGAGGCAUCUCUUUGAUAUUAAAGCUCCGGCGGUUAAAGAUGGGCGUGCGUCUGAUUAGGUAGUUGGCGGGGUAACGGCCCACCAAGCCUUCGAUCAGUAGCUGAUGUGAGAGCAUGAUCAGCCACACGGGCACUGAGACACGGGCCCGACUCCUACGGGAGGCAGCAGUAAGGAAUAUUGGUCAAUGGGCGCAAGUCUGAACCAGCCAUGCCGCGUGGAGGAUGAAGGCCCUCUGGGUUGUAAACUUCUUUUCUUUGGGACGAAACCCCUGUUUCUACGGGGACUGACGGUACCAGAGGAAUAAGCACCGGCUAACUCCGUGCCAGCCGCCGCUGUAACAC